ensembl:lncRNA
GGAACCUCCAUGUGCCGUGGGAGCAGCCCUAGAAAAGGCAAAAAGCCAAAAAAAAAAAAAAAAAAAAGGCGCAGAGAGUAUGAAUAAUGAUGCAUCUUCCAUCUACCACCUGCAACUAGAGUAGUUAUUUGGUUGUCAUGUUUACUUCAAGUCUUUUUUUUUUAAGUUUCCCCUGAUGGCUCUCCCCACCAGCCGCCUGCUAUCAGUCCCUUCUCCCAGACAGAAGGCAUUAUUUAAUGUUUUUCUUUCUUAGCUAAACAGCUUUGCUAAUGGACGACCGACCGAUAUUUCAGAGUUGUUCUUUGGGAAUAAACAGAAAACGCACAUAAAAUGUUUCAAUCUGCAAAGCCUCUUCUUCCUCCCCUCCCGCACUCCAUCCAUGCUAGGAUUUUGAGACCUACACACGUUGAUAGACACAGGUCUGAUCUAUUCUCUAUUUCAUUUUAUUUUUUGGCUUUUUAGGGCUGCACUCCUGACAUAUGGAAAUUCCCAGGCUAGGGGUCAAAUCGGAGCUGCAGCUGUUGGCCUGCACCACAGCCAAGCCUCGUCUUGUGACCUACACCACAGCUCACGGCAAUGCCAGGUGCCAGCUCCUUAACCCACUGAGUGAGGCCAGGAAUACUAGUGUAAUGAACCUGUGUCCUCAUGGAUCCUAGUCGGGUUUAUUACCACUGAGCCACGAUGGGAACUCCAGAGCUAUUCUUUUUAACUGCUGUAUGUUGUUCCUUUGUAUUUCCCUUCUCACUCUCUGCAUUCACCUGUUGAAAGGCUUUAGGAUUUGGCUGCCCGUAGUUUAGGGCAAGGGAUGAAUGUUUUUGGUCACGUGUCUGAAAGAAGUAGAAUUGCUGGGUCAGGCACAUGGGCUCUGAUCCAAGUUUGUACCGAGGCUUUGUCCUCUGCACUCACUUGGGCCUCCAGCAGGAGGGUCUCCUUGCCGAGUUCUCAGAUGGCUUUGGUUAAACCAGACUAUGUUUGGGACCCACAGGAAGGUGGGAAGGUUUGGAGUUGCUGUUGUGGUUCAUUGGUUUUAGAACCUGACUAGUAUCCAUGAGAAUGUGGGUUUGAUCCCUUGCCUUGCUCAGUGGGUUAAGGAUCCAGCAUUGCUGCAAGCUGUGGGGUAAGUCAAAGAUGCAGCUCGAAUCCCGGGUUGCUGUGGCUGUGGUGUAGGCCGGCAGCUGCUACUCCGAUUUGACCCCUAGUUUGGGACUUCCAGAUGCAAGAAAGAAGCAAGGAGGGAAGGCUGAUCAUAUGUUGGUCCUCUCAACAUCAGUUUCUGUGGCUCUUCAAGGACAGCCUGGCUUGCAGAGCCCCAGAGGACCGUGGCUGAAUGUUUUUGUUUUCUCAAACUGUCUGCCUCAGCCCUGACCCUCCCCAGGCCUUGGCGAUUCCAGGAAUGACCCUGAUGUUUGUGAAGCAGCCCUUUACAGGCUCGGGAGGGGCUGUGCUGUUUCUGCGCUCUCAGGGGGAGUCUGAGAUGAGACGGUGAUGCGAGGGCGUGUGUGCUCUAGAAAUCUCCAUAAUGCCUGGCCAAGAAGGGAGCAUCCAAGCACACACACAUGUCUGUUUAUGAACCCACAUGUCAGUGGGUGUGAAGAGCAUACAGCUUACGAGGCUUGUCUUUUCAGAGUCCCUAUGUGAAGCCGUAUGUCUUGAAGAGAAGCUUCUUUUUAAGAAUUUUUUUUAUUAGAGUUAAAGAUUUACGACAUUCUGUCCAUGUCUGCUGUACAGCAUGGUGACCCAGGCAUCAUACAAAUGUUAUGUUAUUUAACAUAUUUCUCAUAUUAUCAGAAGCCUCAUCCAUCCCUGAGAAAUUCUUCAGGAAGCCAAGGCAGGGCUCAUAGAGGAAUGGGGCUCUUGAAAUGCCUGAGCUGGAAGGGGAAUGUUCAAAGUACGGAGUCAUUGACCUCCAUGCCAGCUUGUCUUUGAACCUCCAGGGCUGAAGUGUAGGGCUCUAUUUUUAGCAAGCUCUUCAGAUGAUUUCUGAUGAACAGCUACUGUAGGGAAUCAUUUACCAGGUCUAACGUAUAGUCGAGCAUGUUGAAGCCUACAUAUCUGAAAACUCCUAGCCUGGCAUCACUCAGAAUCUCAGGCAAUGUCAGGUUCAGAACCUUGAGUCUCUGGCUUUCUAGCCAGUGCUGCCCUUCCUGCCACACUAGAACUGGCUGGCCAAGGCUUGGAGCCCAAGAGCUGUUGUUCCCAAGGAAAUCCAGCAAGGGUUUGGAAUGGCUUGGCAGGUGCUCAGUCCUCUGCCCUGUGUCCAUCUUCACCAUCGCAUGCUGUAGUGGUUCCUUCCAUGUGUGAGGACGGGUGUGGGAGCCUGCUGGCCCUCCCACUCCACAGACUCCCCAGCUCUGCAGCCCAUAGCUGGGGGAUGGGCCUGUGGUAGCUGUGGGCACAGGGAGACCAUGAGAAAGGCCAGUUCCUGCACUUGUGUCAUGGGAUUCCCUGGGUGACUUGUGGAUCUAGAGAGAACGUCAGAGAGGCUGCUUGUUCAAAGCCAUUUCCUUACGCAGGGGAAGGUCCAAGAGGAGGCACCCCUUCUUUUGUUAGAAAACCAUGCUGAGGAGCUAUGGGUCUGUUGCCAAAGGGACUUCUCCUGUGUGGUGGCAUCUGAGGGAUGUCAGGUUUGCUUUGCUGGCUCCCUUGCAGGGAGCAGGGGCUCAAGGGGUAGGAAAGAACAGAAGGAAGGGAGUUUGGAAUGAAGCUGGGUGUCAGCAGGGGGUAGAUGGCCCGACCAGGAGAAAUACCAUUAGAUGAGCUGGAAUGUCACCACAGCAGAUGUCUGCAUGCACUGCUCAGGAUUCCAGCGUGACAGGCCACUGCUGCCUGCCGCCUGUGACCUUGUAAAGAAAGGAGGAGGGGAGUUACCUAGUGGCCUAGCAGUUAAGGAUUUGAUGUUGUCACUGCUGUGGCUCGGGUUUGACCCCUGGUCCAGGAGCUUCUGCAAUGCUGUGUGGUGCGGCCAAAAAAAAAAAAAAAAAAAAAAA